AACGAACGCUGGCGGCAUGCCUAACACAUGCAAGUCGAACGAGACCUUCGGGUCUAGGGGCGCACGGGGGCGGCACACGUGGGAAGCUGCCCUUGGCGUCGGAAUAACAGUUAGAAAUGACUGCUAAUACCGGAUGAGGGCUAAAGACCAAAGAUUUAUCGGCAAAGGAUGAGCCCGCGUAGGAUUAGGUAGUUGGGGGGGUAAAGGCCUACCAAGCCGACGAUCCGUAGCUGGUCUGUGAGGCUGAUCAGCCACACUGGGACUGAGACACGGCCCAGACUCUUACGGGAGGCAGCAGUGGGGAAUAUUGGACCAUGGGCGAAAGCCUGAUCCAGCACUGACGGGUGAGUGAUGAAGGCCUUAGGGUUGUAAAGCUCUUUUACCAGGGAUGAUAAUGACAGUACCUGGAGAAUAAGCCCCGGCUAACUCCGUG
rnacentral:rRNA from 1 species